AAACCGUUCAGGGGUAAACCUAAGAAACCCGAAAGAUCGAACGGGGAGAUUCAUCGUCAGCGGCGCGGGCUUCGCGUCGGCGGGCGAUGCCCCGCGCGACGUGCCGGCGCAAGCUCGGCUCGCUGCCGCGCGCCGAUGUCCCGUCCCCGUCGUCGUGCACUUCUCCCCCAGUAGGACGUCGCGACCCGCUGGGUGUCGGCCUACGGCCCGGGUGCGCUGCCUGCCGCCUCGCCGGUCAAACGGCACGCGGCAAACCCCCGAUCGCCCGGCCGGCUGCCCGCCGGUACGCCAAAACGGUAUCAGGCCGCGCCUCGCGCGCGUCGAGCCCGUCGCAAGCGUCGGCCAUGUCUUUUAAACCGGAGGUGCGGACCCAGCCGCCGUCCCCGGUUCUGGCCCGCUGUUAGCUAGUUACGGUGCACCUUCGACGGGCCUCUCUCCGCCCCGGCAGUCCGGUCGGUACCACCGACCGGGCCAACGGUGCGCGGACCAUCAUUACCGGUCGGCGACGCUACUGCUUUGGGUACUCUCAGGA
rnacentral:rRNA from 1 species